rnacentral:tRNA from 1 species
GAGCGCGUAGCUCAGUUGGUAGAGCACCUGACUUUUAAUCAGGUGGUCAUGGGUUCGAUCCCCAUCGCGCUCACCA